rnacentral:rRNA from 1 species
AUUGAACGCUGGCGGCAUGCCUUACACAUGCAAGUCGAACGGUAACGCGGGGCAACCUGGCGACGAGUGGCGAACGGGUGAGUAAUGCAUCGGAACGUGCCCAGUAGUGGGGGAUAGCCCGGCGAAAGCCGGAUUAAUACCGCAUACGACCUAUGGGUGAAAGCGGGGGAUCGCAAGACCUCGCGCUAUCGGAGCGGCCGAUGUCAGAUUAGGUUGUUGGUGGGGUAAAGGCCUACCAAGCCUGCGAUCUGUAGCUGGUCUGAGAGGACGACCAGCCACACUGGGACUGAGACACGGCCCAGACUCCUACGGGAGGCAGCAGUGGGGAAUUUUGGACAAUGGGCGCAAGCCUGAUCCAGCCAUGCCGCGUGCGGGAAGAAGGCCUUCGGGUUGUAAACCGCUUUUGUCAGGGAAGAAAUGUUCUGGGCUAAUACCCCGGGAAGAUGACGGUACCUGAAGAAUAAGCACCGGCUAACUACGUGCCAGCAGCCGCGGUAACAC